ensembl:lncRNA
CUCAGACCUGCCAGAGCCCAGAGGCAGGAGUGCAGUGGGGGCUCAGAUUGGGUCAUCUCAGCAGAGUCCCCAAACAGAGGACCAUGGCCUCCCUGGGGUCACUCAUUCGUUCAGCAGUUCGUGUUGAGCACUCGCUCUACCCCAGCCCCAUGGAGAGACUCAGAAGGGUGGGGCACAGCCCUGCUCUCAAAGAGUUUGCACUCGAGUCGGGGACCCAGCCUGGGCAGCAGCGUGGCAAGUGCGGGUGCUGUGGGAGCACGGAAGGCCCCCAGAGGGACCGUGGCUGAGCAGAGAGUUCGUCCCACUGAGAAAGGGAAGGUGCCUUCUGGGCAAGAGGAACGGCAGGUGAAAGAUUAGAACAAGACUCGCUGUGGACCGGCUUCGGGUGAUGAGCAUUUGGAGAUGGGCAGAACAUAAGGUGGGCGUGUUGGGGCUGGGUCAGGCUGGAGGGGGCCUGGCCACAGAGUGCCCUAAGGACCUGUGGGCAGUAGGGAGCCAGCGAAGGGCGCUGAGCUGGGGCGUGGCAGGGUCAGGUUUGCAUUUGAAGGAGCUCCCCCUGGCUCCCCCUGGAGGGCCUGCUGGAGGGGCAGAGACCAGGGAUGUGGAUGUUGCAAUCGUCCGUGGCCAGGAUGAGGUCAGAAUGAAGGCGACAGCAGCGGGGAGAGAAUCAAGUCACGAGAUCGCUUGGAUUGGCCUUGGUGGACCAACGGGACCAAGGGUCGGGUGAGGGAGACCGAGGAGUCUCAGGCGACGCCCGCACCUCUGCCCGGGAAUCAGGCCGAGGAAGAGAGGACAAAUCGUGUGGCCGGAUCUCCACACUAGCCUGACACCAGGGAACCCGCCGUGGCCAGCUUUAUCCGAUGCUGAAAGGGUCAUUUCCCACCUGACGUAAGGGGAGCAGCCCUUCGCCCACAGCCCCACCUCUGCUGGGUAACUUGGAAUUUCAAGCCCAGUGACCCCUGAAGUGUCCUCUAAACCUGCGUGGCCCAGAGGAUGUCCCACUUGUCCUGAGAAAGGUUCCAUGGGGAACAUGACACUGGUAUCAAAUAAGCCUGGGGAAGACUGCACACUCGGGCCCCUUCUUAGAAGAUCAAAGUCCCUGUUAACAAUUAAAGGCUCUGAGAAGUCCUGCAAGAGAGAAGCCUGUCUGACUUUGUAGAAUCCAGUGUUUCCCUGGCUUAUUGCAUCCAGAACCUUUCUUUUCUCUCAAAACAACAGCCACAGAGCUUCACUUGGGAAAUACAUCCAAAAUGCAAAGUGGCAUUGCCCGCUGCCAUCUUGACACAGGCGAGCUUCUUUCCAGAGUCUCAGGGAGGAAAAGCAGGAGUCGGCUGUGUCUGGUAAGAGGCCCUGUGGUCCAGAGAGCAGGAGACUCUGCAGACCCACCAGGGCUCAGCAUGGCCAUCCCUCUCUCAGCCUCCAGGAGACCCUGUCUCCAGAGCCACUGUCCCCAGAAAAGGUGUCAUUGAGCAGCAGCCUCAGAAGAGGGGCAAGCUUAGCCAAGAGGGGAGGCCAGAUGUGUGCAGCAUCACGGAUGGGAGAGGCACGGAAGGCUGGGACACCCAGGCAGCAGGGAGUGAUGGCGUCUCCGGGCAUCCCCUGGGGCAGAUACAGCCUCGUCCUUCGGCUGGACUUGAACCAAAGACCAAUUCGUGUCUCCACCUCACACCCCCACCCUGCCCAGCCUGUCUUCUCCUAGUCCCUCUGCAUCCCCAGGGCCUGGGACCAUCUCCCAGCCCCUACCUGUGUGCUCUGAGACUCUUACCCUCUUUGGGGCCGAGGGGGCAAGGAUCCUGCUCCCGCUCCCGCUCCCGCCCCCUCCCUCCUGCACCGACUCUUGGCUGCCUCCUGAAGCCAGACAAUACAGGGAAAUGUUUGCACCCAAACAACUCCGCUGCUUCAGGAACUGGCUGACCCUGCCCAGGAAAGCACUCCUGCAGCUCCACCCUGGUCCCCUCAGUCCGAGGACCAGAGACCAAAGCUGAAGGGGCAGCCCAGCAGAGGUCAGCAGAGCCAGAGAGGUCAUAGGCAUCCCCGAUGUGGCCGAGGGGAGCACAGGGGUCGCCUCUCUCUAGGGACCGGGGCUUUCUUGCCUGCCUAAGUCAGAAAGGGAGGGCUGUUCCCGACUGUGGAUAUGCAAAAGCCAGAUUGUCAAUAUUUAUCUAGAGAGCUGUGGCUCUGGAUUAAUCUGGCCUGAAGAUAAUGAAAAGAGCACUUUGAUGUGACUUGAGAAAUGUAUUAAUUCAUUCAACAAGCAUUUGCCACACUUGGGGUCUGGGCCAAGCCGCAUGCCGGGCACUGAGGAUUCGGGGGUAUGAGCCUCACCCCGCCCUGGAGAGGCCCACGGUCCAAGGGGGAGACAGAACCCAAAAUGGAAUGGGGGGCAGGUGGGUGCUGCUCUGCCCCAGCUGAAGUUCCUCUUGAGAAACGCUAACCUGGCAUUGGCUAAAGCAGGGGCUGCAGGAUCAAUGCACACGCGGGUGGGAUGGGCCGGGGAACCCAUCACCAAAGUCACCUACAGCACUGGCCGCCUGGGUCAGGAAGCCACAGUGUCAGUGCAAUUUGUAAAAGCAGAGUCCCCAUCCCCACGUUUGAUAAAGAUUGAAAUGCCCUCUGGUGGCUUCCCUCCCAACACUCCUUCCCAUCUUAUGAUUCUGCCCCCACCAACCCCGACACAGCCCCGAUGAGAGGAGCACCAGGGCAAGCCAAGCCGGCAAAGCUUGUGAAAAGCAGCAAGAAGACAAAGCAGAUCUGGCACAGAUGCGGCCACACGUGACGGUGCCGUGGGGUGACCCCCGGCACUCCUGUGCCUGGACCUUCAAAGCACACCAGCUUCCCGUUCCCAGCACGGGGCGGGCGGCGGGGGAGAUAGAGUCAGGGACCCCAAGCUCCCAACUUGACCACAGUGGGGCUUACCCAGCAGCCCACCCCUUCUUAGUACCUUUGAGGAAACCGAGGCCGAGAUGGAAAGAGCAGGGAAGAUGCAGGGGCGGCCGGCUGGGGGCAGUUCAGGUCAGGGCAGCCAGCCUGCUUGUCACAGCCCCUCACGCCCACCUCGCCCGCGUGCCAGAGACUGUGUGUUUUUGUCUUUCUUGGGGGGAGGGGUGUGGCUCAGAGCCUUGAGUGAUAGUUAACUGACAAUGAAUUUGAACCACAUGGAGCCCGGGCUUAAGGGGAAAAUGUUUUGGUGAGAUACAGCUGGGAUUUCAACUCCCGCCCCCCAGACAGUACAAAAAUAGUCUGGGCCAGGCAGGCUCUGACCCACAGGCCUGGCCCAGUUUCGCCGCCCCGUGUCCUGGAGAGGCUCGCAGUGGCCUCUUUCCCUGCAUCUGGGUUUCGUAAUCUUUCCUGGUUGUUUGGGUCGCCUGUUUGUUGACUGGCCCGGUUUGUCUGGGAGGAUUUGCUCCCUGAAGGCUCCCACAGGCUGGCCCUGAAGACAGUGAGGCAGGAAGACCCUCCAUCCUGUCGCUAACAAGGCCCCCCGCGCUGGAAGCUGGAAAGGCUGCCACAGUCACAGCCUGGGGACUGGACUGGGAGCCCUGUGGCCUUGGGAGUGUGGGUGGGUGAUGGGCUCUGUGCGCCCGGGCGUGAGGUGGACUUCACCCAAGUGAGAUCUGGAAGGUCUCGUCAAUGUCUCCAGUCCGAGCUCCUUCCUCAGGGGGACACUGAGGCCAGAGGCAGGAGGCGAGCGAUCUAAGGCGCCCGGUUAACAGCACCACCGGGCUUGCCCCCAAGCGAGGGCUUCUGCUUCCGGCCCUGGGCCUGGCACCGAGGAGGCAUCCAGAAGUGUUUGUGCAUUGAGACAAUGGUCAAAGCCCUUGGCCCUCAAUCCUAGCUCAGAGGAAGGAAACAGAGGGCGCUGGGCCCCCGGGCGGGCCCCUGCCACCCCAGCACCUAGUAGUAAUAACCUCCUGCCCCCGGGGGCAAGUGCUGAGAGCCCUCCUAGGGUGCUCCGGGCUGGGGCAGGAGGAGGGGAUGCUCAUGGCGCCCUCGCAGGCCCAGCGGCAGGGCCACGGGACAGCAGCUCCUGCAAAAAGAGGUGCCAGCAGUGAGGCCAGGGGUUGUUGGGAUGGACAGAGAGAUGGGGACACCGCAGGGGAGGGGCUCGAGGCAGAGACCUCAGCCACAGCAUCCCUCAGACCAGCUGACGGAGCCACUACCUGGCAGUCCAGAGUCACAUCUGGAAACCUCGGCCCAACCCAGGCUGGGCCACCCCGGGGAGAGCCAAGGCCCCUGUGACCACAGGACAGGACCCGUAUCAGUCCUUC